GACCCGAUAGUCUAAUGGUAGGGCGUCCCCCUUCAUAAGUGCAUUUGCAACAGUGCACUUAUGAAGGGGAAAGAUGUGGUUCGAAUCCACAUCGGGUCU
rnacentral:tRNA from 2 species